rnacentral:rRNA from 1 species
GAUGAACGCUGGCGGCGUGCUUAACACAUGCAAGUCGAGCGAGUGAGUUCUUCGGAACGAUCUAGCGGCGGACGGGUGAGUAACACGUGGGCAACCUGCCUCAUAGAGGGGAAUAGCCUCCCGAAAGGGAGAUUAAUACCGCAUAAAAUUAUCGAGUGGCAUCACAUGAUAAUCAAAGGAGUAAUCCGCUAUGAGAUGGGCCCGAGGCGCAUUAGCUAGUUGGUGAGGUAACGGCGCACCAAGGCGACGAUGCGUAGCCGACCUGAGAGGGUGAUCGGCCACAUUGGGACUGAGACACGGCCCAGACUCCUACGGGAGGCAGCAGUGGGGAAUAUUGCACAAUGGGGGAAACCCUGAUGCAGCAACGCCGCGUGAGUGAUGAAGGUCUUCGGAUUGUAAAGCUCUGUCUUUGGGGACGAUAAUGACGGUACCCAAGGAGGAAGCCACGGCUAACUACGUGCCAGCAGCCGCCGUAAUAC